rnacentral:rRNA from 1 species
UGCCAGCAGCCGCGGUAAUACGGAGGGACCUAGCGUUGUUCGGAAUAACUGGGCGUAAAGGGUGUGUAGGCGUUUUUUUAAGUGGAUUGUUAAAUCCUUGGGCUCAACCCAAGAAUCGCACUCCAAACUGGAAAAAUAGAGUGUGGGAGAGGAGAGUGGAAUUCCUAGUGUAGAGGUGAAAUUCGUAGAUAUUAGGAGGAACACCAGAGGCGAAGGCGGCUCUCUGGACCAUUACUGACGCUGAGGCACGAAAGCGUGGGGAGCAAACAGGAUUAGAUA